UUUAGCGAGUUUGAAAAAAAAACGCCUCUAAAGAAGAAGAAUAUCACUUCAAGGUGCUGUAAAUAUAAAAUUUCGCUAAAAACAUUCCCGAAAACAAUCGAUUUUUUUGACUUUCUAAAGCAGGACCUCCCCUUAACCCCAGCAGUGAUAAUCAUUCGUUUUUAAAUGAAAAUAUAAAAGAAAUAUAAUAAAUGAAAUAUGUUCGAAAAUUAAAGAGGCAAUAAAUAAUGAUGAAAUUGUAGAAAAUUUAGAAAAAUCGUUAGGCCAAGCCAGAGGAGAGGAAUUAAAAAGGAAACUGAAGCAGCGACUUGAGGACGAACCAAAGAUGGAGCUAUGCAUAUACGUCAGACAGUUCGAAUCGAUGACACAAAAAGUAGAAAGGGAGAAUAGAAAGAGGACUCUUGAAGAUGAUCAAAGCUAAGCGAAGGAGUUUCCUGGGCCAUGGAUGAAUCGACUUUUCGCGUGAGCAUCGAGGUUGAGUCCUUGGCAAAUCGGUCAAGAGUUUCACGAACGUGAGAGUGAAAUAUGCGAGAGGGAAGGAAAGACGUUACCGAAUCAGGAGUAGAGUCGACUCUUCGAAAAUUAUGCAAUCACGAAAGAAGCGCUCCUCUUAUCGAAGCUUAAUCGACGAUUCCUCAAAAAAUAAUAAUCCUCAAGGAAAUGGGAACGAACUGACAGCAGCUUGAAAAACUCAUAUUGAAUGAAGCAACGUUUACGUUCAGACGUCCGAGGCUGCUGCAAAAAUGUUCAUUAUUCAAAUGAAAGCACUGCGAGCUCUCAACAACGAUGAGCAUCUUGAUGGAAAUUUAUCUCGAAUAAAUAUUAAAUCAGAUGAGAGAAUGUGCUCGGAAAAUAUACAUCGAAUGCGGGAGCGACGUCCCAACGUGUGUUCUCGCGAAACGUCGAUUCGCGUUAUCGUACGAACAAACUGACGUCUCGAUUUCCCUCGAACAUUCGAUACUGACAUACACGCUUCUCCAAGUAUUGACCACGUCAAUACAACGGAGUCGCGAAUAUACGUCUGAGUAUAUCGAGCAGCAAUAUCGGAUUCGAAUGAUCGUAUUUCGUUGGAAUUCCCUUUAAAACUUCGUUUUCACAUGCCCCUUUUUUCAAUUUCCCGAAAGCUCGUUCCUAUUUUCAUUAUCAACGUGAAACCGUAGUUUUAUAUUCACAAUUAUUGAAUUUUCUCGGUGUUAUUCUUUUUCGAUCAUGCGGGUUUUACGUUCAUUGAUGACUUCGCGAAUAGUAGAAAUACUGGAAAAUUUGAGAGCGCACACAGAAACGCAAUCCGAGUUUGAGAUUUCGCUCGUUAGCAUUAACAGGAUUUUCCAUAUACAAAAAUGACCAGAAAAUGAAUAAUGAAACAUCGCUGCGCGUUGGAAAAUCUUCGUAAUAAUGCGAGCACGAUUUUUUAACAGGGCUUCAAGCUUUUGUACCGUUCAUUGCGCAAGCUUCGAAGAGUCUUCGUAUCGAUUCUACAAUGUAUUAUAGCUUCAAUAGACGAAAAUAUUCGAAUCGAAA